rnacentral:lncRNA from 1 species
AUCUCAUUGUGUUUUGAUAUUUUGGCCCAAGAAUCAUAAUUUGGCUCUCAGUUCUUGUAUCUUGGGUUUUCAAACAUCGUUUUAGGGCCCUUUGAUUUCAAUUUUCAUUUAUAACGAUACAUUAAUGCCUAAAAUGAUUUUUGUUUGAAUCUAAAUUUGUUUUUAAGUGUAUUGUUUGAUUGUUUGAAUUGCUUCAGCAACAAUUGCGGUGCUCUAUAUUCGGUCGUGUAGGGUGUCACAAAUCAUGUUUUUAAGAAUUAU